UACCGUCUUCCACCAGUGGUAUGUUAUAUCUUUCAGAAGAGAUACAGCACACUUUAACCAUUCCUUGGGUGUACAUGACAAUUCAUCCAAAACUCGUAUAGUGUUCUCAAGCCAGAACUUAGCCCGUUCUGCAUCAUCCUCGACCCUAGCCCUAAAUCUUCAGCCCCGUAUUUCCUAAGUUUAUCCACUAGGGCCUUACCAAUUCUCACGGGUGUCA
rnacentral:lncRNA from 1 species